rnacentral:rRNA from 1 species
GCUCCAAUAGCGUAUAUUAAGUUGUUGCAGUUAAAAAGCUCGUAGUUGGAUUUCUGGAGGGUGCUACCGGUCCGCUACCUUUGGUAGUGUGUACUAGUGAGCUUCCGCCAUACUUGUGGAGAGCGUAGCUGCCAUUAAUUUGGUGGUUGCGGGAUCUGCAUCAUUUACUGUGAAAAAAUUAGAGUGUUUAAGCAGGCAAU